GUGCGGCUCCAAGGCUUUUGAAAUGUGAUCGGACCAAAUGGAUCAAAUUCUGAUAGAGAGACAAGUCAUUUCUUUAUACGUCCAUGUCUUCAACAGCGUAAACAACCUUCACACAGCUCCUGUUCGUCGUCUGACCAGCCCGUGGCUUUACUCUGCGGGGUCUCCUCUACAUCCCGCCCCUCCACCUUUACAAUUGGCUGACAGGGACCAAUGUUUCAGCUCUACCGACCUUUCUCAGGGCAACAACUGACAGACUUUUUCACCCUAUAUAUCAACUCACCUGCCACAGGUGGCUCCUGAUUAGCAAUCAGCAGAGAGCGAGCGGCAGAAACGUGACGUGAACACAAGUGGAGAAAAGAAGUUUAGCAGUAAGUUGUCAAUAAGGCAGUAAAUGUAGAGUACAGACUGUGUGUCAGUUAAUAAAUGCUGCAGCUCCUCAACACAAAGAAAAUACUCGUCUAUCAAAAGGGCUGCCAGCAGUUCUUAUUUUAGUGUCAAUCUCAGCCGCUCUUUAACAGAGAACGGAGAAAUGUCUGGCUGAUGAGUCUCUGUCUUGAGUUUUUCCCCCGUUUUGGAUUAUUCCAUCUUCUGGUGAAGACAUAUCUUCCACCACUCUCAAAAAUAGAAUCAGUAUUGUGUUUAUACAUGAAGAGUCUUGCUGUACACUAAAAUAAUGAUUUGUUGUAAGUAUUGGAAACACAGUGCUCGGUGUAGACGUUGAUUCCAGCCCUUCAUUCUAACCAGUAACGCUCGUGUUACAUCAGACGCCAUCUUAUGGUGAAGAAAUAGAUUACACUCUACAGUCGGUAGGCCUGUUGUGUUCAUACAUCAGGAGGGCUUGCUGUAAAACAAUAUGUCAUGAGCAUCUAUGGCACAGGAGUCAGGGUGAUUCAAGUCUUUUAUUCUAUAAUGAGACACACAACCAGUCAGUUCAGGAGGACGGACAGACGGAUCAGCACAGCUUGCUCCCACAACACCAUGAAAAUCCUUCUCUGCUGUAGGUUACUAUGUUGGCUUGAAAGACUUUACAUUGUGGUCGUAUAGUGAUACAAUCAUAAUAAAAUAAACUUACAAAUGAAAUAAAAUAAAUUAAAAUGACUGUGUACCUUUUUACAAUAUCAAUAACACUCUAUAACAUCAAUAUCUACAGUAUUAUACCAAAACUAGAAUGGAUUAGUAGAAAAGAUGUCAUUUAAUCCCAUGCAAGUUUUUUUAUUUUACAUUUAUGUUCCUCUGCUGCCACCUUCAGGAAUGUUACAGUAACAGCAGACAAGCUGGUUUAUCACUGUUAACAAGCAUGAAUGAAUCUGUUACCUAUUAAAUGGCUGAUUUAACUACACUCUGCUUCACAUAUCUGAACACACUGUAACGGACUGUGUUCAUGUGAGUGUUUAACUGUUAUGAGUGUUACUGUAAGAAACA